rnacentral:rRNA from 1 species
UUUAUGGAGAGUUUGAUCCUGGCUCAGGAUGAACGCUGGCGGCGUGCCUAAUACAUGCAAGUCGAGCGAACGGACGAGAAGCUUGCUUCUCUGAUGUUAGCGGCGGACGGGUGAGUAACACGUGGAUAACCUACCUAUAAGACUGGGAUAACUUCGGGAAACCGGAGCUAAUACCGGAUAAUAUUUUGAACCG